AUUAAUAUGGAAGGGAGAAGAGCUUUAAUGAUUGGAGUCAUUUUCAGAGCAUUAAAGCUCUUCUCCCUUCCAUAUUAAU
rfam:Homo sapiens chromosome X, GRCh38 reference primary assembly.